CCCCAGAUGACAAAUUUUGCAUUAAUUCAGCGGAGAGAUGCUCAUUUUGUUGUGAAAAAUGGGGAAGGAAAAGCUGGAUGAAAAAUGGGAAUGUGUGU
ensembl:ncRNA C33F10.21 ncRNA